GGGGGAUAACGUAGGGAAACUUACGCUAAUACCGCAUACGACCUACGGGUGAAAGCAGGGGAUCUUCGGACCUUGCGCGAUUGAAUGAGCCGAUGUCGGAUUAGCUAGUUGGCGGGGUAAAGGCCCACCAAGGCGACGAUCCGUAGCUGGUCUGAGAGGAUGAUCAGCCACACUGGAACUGAGACACGGUCCAGACUCCUACGGGAGGCAGCAGUGGGGAAUAUUGGACAAUGGGCGCAAGCCUGAUCCAGCCAUACCGCGUGGGUGAAGAAGGCCUUCGGGUUGUAAAGCCCUUUUGUUGGGAAAGAAAUCCAGCCGGCUAAUACCCGGUUGGGAUGACGGUACCCAAAGAAUAAGCACCGGCUAACUUCGUGCCAGCAGCCGCGGUAAUACGAAGGGUGCAAGCGUUACUCGGAAUUACUGGGCGUAAAGCGUGCGUAGGUGGUCGUUUAAGUCCGUUGUGAAAGCCCUGGGCUCAACCUGGGAACUGCAGUGGAUACUGGGCGACUAGAGUGUGGUAGAGGGUAGCGGAAUUCCUGGUGUAGCAGUGAAAUGCGUAGAGAUCAGGAGGAACAUCCAUGGCGAAGGCAGCUACCUGGACCAACACUGACA
rnacentral:rRNA from 1 species